AACGAACGCUGGCGGCAGGCUUAACACAUGCAAGUCGAACGCCCCGCAAGGGGAGUGGCAGACGGGUGAGUAACGCGUGGGAACGUGCCCUUCGCUUCGGAAUAGUCCCGGGAAACUGGGUUUAAUACCGUAUGAGCCCCUCGGGGGAAAGAUUUAUCGCCAUAAGAUGAGCCCGCGUAGGAUUAGCUAGUUGGUGAGGUAAAGGCUCACCAAGGCGACGAUCCUUAGCUGGUCUGAGAGGAUGACCAGCCACACUGGGACUGAGACACGGCCCAGACUCCUACGGGAGGCAGCAGUGGGGAAUAUUGGACAAUGGGCGCAAGCCUGAUCCAGCCAUGCCGCGUGUGUGAUGACGGCCUUAGGGUUGUAAAGCACUCUCGCCGAUGAAGAUAAUGACUGUAGUCGGAGAAGAAGCCCCGGCUAACUUCGUGCCAGCAGCCGCCGCCGUAA
rnacentral:rRNA from 1 species